rnacentral:rRNA from 1 species
GACGUAGGAUGCAAGCGUUGUCCGGAAUUAUUGGGCGUAAAGAGUUCGUAGGCGGUUACUUAAGUCUGAUGUUAAAUACCGAGGCUCAACCUCGGCAUGGCAUUGGAAACUGGGUGGCUAGAGUGCGGUAGAGGUAUCGGGAAUUCCAGGUGUAGCGGUGAAAUGCGUAGAUAUCUGGAGGAGCACCGGUGGCGAAAGCGCGAGACUGGGCCGUAACUGACGCUGAGGAACGAAGGCCAGGGGAGCAAACGGG